rnacentral:rRNA from 1 species
AAUGACGCUGGCGGCAUGCCUACACAUGCAGUCGAGCGGCAGCACAGCCCCGCAAGGGGUGGGUGGCGAGCGGCGGACGGGUGAGGAAUGCAUCGGAAUCUGCCCUGUCGUGGGGGAUAACGUAGGGAAACUUACGCUAAUACCGCAUACGACCGAGAGGUGAAAGCGGGGGACCCGAAAGGGCCUCGCGCGGCAGGAUGAGCCGAUGCCCGAUUAGCUGGUUGGUGGGGUAACGGCCCACCAAGGCGACGAUCGGUAGCUGGUCUGAGAGGAUGAUCAGCCACACUGGGACUGAGACACGGCCCAGACUCCUACGGGAGGCAGCAGUGGGGAAUAUUGGACAAUGGGGGCAACCCUGAUCCAGCAAUGCCGCGUGUGUGAAGAAGGCCUUCGGGUUGUAAAGCACUUUUAUCGGGAGCGAAACGCGCCGGGCGAAUACCUCGGCGAACUGACGGUACCUGAUGAAUAAGCACCGGCUAACUUCGUGCCAGCAGCCGCGGUAAUACGAAGGGUGCAAGCGUUAAUCGGAAUUACUGGGCGUAAAGCGUGCGUAGGCGGUACGUUAAGUCUGCCGUGAAAGCCCUGGGCUCAACCUGGGAACUGCGGUGGAUACUGGCGUGCUGGAGUGCGGUAGAGGAGGGUGGAAUUCCCGGUGUAGCGGUGAAAUGCGUAGAGAUCGGGAGGAC